rnacentral:rRNA from 1 species
UGAAUACGAGACGCUAAGGCGUCGAAGUAGUGUAUGUCAUACUUCAAGAAAAGCUUGCACUGUCAUAGAUAAAAAACGCCUGUACCAUAACCGACACAGGUGGGUAGGUAGAGUAUACUAAGGGGCGCGAGAUAACUCUCUCUAAGGAACUCGGCAAAAUGACUCCGUAACUUCGGGAGAAGGAGUGCCUUAUUCUUAAGGUUGCAAUAACAAGAUCCAAGCAACUGUUUAUCAAAAACACAGGUCUCCGCUAAGUCGUAAGACGAUGUAUGGGGGCUGACGCCUGCCCAGUGCCAGAAGGUUAAAGAAGUUGGUUAGCAUUUGCGAAGCUGAUAACUGAAGCCCUGGUGAACGGCGGCCGUAACAAUAACGGUCCUAAGGUAGCGAAAUUCCUUGUCGGGUAAGUUCCGACCCGCACGAAAGGCGUAAUGAUUUGGAUACUGUCUCGGAGAGGGGCUCGGUGAAAUAGACUUGUCUGUGAAGAUGCGGACUACCUGCACCAGGACAGAAAGACCCUAUGAAGCUUUACUGUAACUUGAAAUUGAAAUUGGACUUUAUUCGCGCAGUAUAGGUGGGAGGCGUUGAUUAUAAUCUUGCGGGAUUAUUGGAGCCAUCAGUGAGAUACCACCCUUGUAAUGUUAGAUUUCUAACUUUGAAUCAUUAUCUGGUCAAAGAACAGUUUCAGGCGGGCAGUUUGACUGGGGCGGUCGCCUCCUAAACGGUAACGGAGGCGUACAAAGGUUUCCUCUGAACGGUUAGAAAUCGUAUCUAGAGUGUAAAGGCAUAAGGAAGCUUGACUGUGAGACCUACAAGUCGAGCAGGGACGAAAGUCGGUCUUAGUGAUCUGACGGUACUGAGUGGAAAGGCCGUCACUCAACGGAUAAAAGUUGCUCUAGGAUAACAGGCUGAUCUCCCCCAAGAGUUCACAUCGACGGGGAGGUUUGGCACCUCGAUGUCGGCUCAUCGCAUCCUGGGGCGGUAGUACGUCCCAAGGGUUGGGCUGUUCGCCCAUGAAAGCGGUACGCGAGCUGGGUUCAGAACGUCGUGAGACAGUUCGGUCCAUAUCCGGUGUAGGCGUUAGAAUAUUGAGAGGAGCCUUCUUUAGUACGAGAGGACCGAGAAGGACAUACCUCUGGUGUACCAGUUAUCGUGCCAACGGUAAACGCUGGGUAGCUAUGUAUGGAGUGGAUAACCGCUGAAAGCAUCUAAGUGGGAAGCCCACCUCAAGAUAAG